UACGUAGGGAGCAAGCGUUGUCCGGAAUCAUUGGGCGUAAAGCGCGCGUAGGCGGCCCUGUAAGUCCGUUGUGAAAGUCAAAGGCUCAACCUUUGAAAGCCGAUGGAUACUGCAGGGCUAGAGUCCGGAAGAGGCGAGUGGAAUUCCUGGUGUAGCGGUGAAAUGCGCAGAUAUCAGGAGGAACACCAAUGGCGAAGGCAGCUCGCUGGGACGUGACUGACGCUGAGACGCGAAAGCGUGGGGAGCAAACAGG
rnacentral:rRNA from 1 species